rnacentral:rRNA from 1 species
GCAAGUCGAGCGAACGGAUAAGGAGCUUGCUCCUUUGAAGUUAGCGGCGGACGGGUGAGUAACACGUGGGUAACCUACCUAUAAGACUGGAAUAACUUCGGGAAACCGGAGCUAAUGCCGGAUAACAUUUGGAACCGCAUGGUUCUAAAGUAAAAGAUGGUUUUGCUAUCACUUAUAGAUGGACCCGCGCCGUAUUAGCUAGUUGGUAAGGUAACGGCUUACCAAGGCAACGAUACGUAGCCGACCUGAGAGGGUGAUCGGCCACACUGGAACUGAGACACGGUCCAGACUCCUACGGGAGGCAGCAGUAGGGAAUCUUCCGCAAUGGACGAAAGUCUGACGGAGCAACGCCGCGUGAGUGAUGAAGGUUUUCGGAUCGUAAAACUCUGUUAUUAGGGAAGAACAAAUGUGUAAGUAACUGUGCACAUCUUGACGGUACCUAAUCAGAAAGCCACGGCUAACUACGUGCCAGCAGCCGCGGUAAUACGUAGGUGGCAAGCGUUAUCCGGAAUUAUUGGGCGUAAAGCGCGCGUAGGCGGUUUCUUAAGUCUGAUGUGAAAGCCCACGGCUCAACCGUGGAGGGUCAUUGGAAACUGGGAAACUUGAGUACAGAAGAGGAAAGUGGAAUUCCAUGUGUAGCGGUGAAAUGCGCAGAGAUAUGGAGGAACACCAGUGGCGAAGGCGACUUUCUGGUCUGUAACUGACGCUGAUGUGCGAAAGCGUGGGGAUCAAACAGGAUUAGAUACCCUGGUAGUCCACGCCGUAAACGAUGAGUGCUAAUGUUUAGGGGGGUUUCCCCCCCCUUAUUGCUGCAGCUAACGCAUUAAGCACUCCGCCCGGGGGAGUACGACCCCCACGGUUGAAACUCCCAGGGAAUUGACGGGGGACCCCCCCC